rnacentral:rRNA from 1 species
GUCCACGCUGUAAACGAUGAAUACUAGGUGUGGGAGGACUGACCCCUUCCGUGCCGCAGUUAACACAAUAAGUAUUCCACCUGGGGAGUACGACCGCAAGGUUGAAACUCAAAGGAAUUGACGGGGGCCCGCACAAGCAGUGGAUUAUGUGGUUUAAUUCGACGCAACGCGAAGAACCUUACCAGGAUUUGACAUCCAACUAACGAAGUAGAGAUACAUUAGGUGCCCUUCGGGGAAAGUUGAGACAGGUGGUGCAUGGUUGUCGUCAGCUCGUGUCGUGAGAUGUUGGGUUAAGUCCCGCAACGAGCGCAACCCCUAUUGUUAGUUGCUACGCAAGAGCACUCUAGCGAGACUGCCGUUGACAAAACGGAGGAAGGCGGGGACGACGUCAAAUCAUCAUGCCCCUUAUGUCCUGGGCUACACACGUAAUACAAUGGUGGUUAACAGAGGGAAGCAAAGCCGCGAGGUGGAGCAAAUCCCUAAAAGCCAUCUCAGUUCGGAUUGCAGGCUGCAACUCGCCUGCAUGAAGCUGGAAUUGCUAGUAAUCGCGG